UGAUUUUUAUAGAUACACUUAAUUUUACUGCUUUUGUGCUUCCAACUUUUCUUACUUGUACUUAUAAUCUUUCUUUUCCACAAACACCCUCACAGACACUUCGAAAUAAUGUUUUACUAGAUAUCUGGGCCUCCCUUAGCUUGAUCAAUCUGGCAUGUAAAAUGAGCCAUCACAAAUGGGAACUCAAAAGAAGAUAGGGAUCUGCGGCAUCCUGGGUGCCUGGAACAUUAGCACACAGAAAAAUGCUCCUCCAUUUUCCCCCAAAGAGACCACCAGGAUUCCAUCCUCUGCCCAUCCAAUCUGUGUGGGGAUGUGCCAUCUUCUAGCUCCAGGAAUGGGUAGAUUAGAAGAGGCAAGUACAGGAUAGUAUAUCAUCCUUUAGAAAUCAGGGCGUCCACAGUUCAAGUCUGCUAAUGAGCAUCAGGCCCAGGACUCCUGCUGCAACAUUUAUCAAAGAGAUGUAUCUUUCCACCAGGGUUGUCAGGCUGAUAGAACAUGUGUCUAAUGCUGCUAGUGGCUAUCUUGCUACCAACUGGAAAAAGCUUGACAUAUAUCAAAACUAAUACACAAAAAGCCCAAAAUCAAGAAUUAAAGAGGAAUGGAUCCUGGA